CAGAACAAACUCAUGGAUACCGAACAUCGAUUAAAAGCCAGACGGAGAAGCAGAGUCGUGCACUGCUAGCUUCUGUCCUCUACUCUACACUUAGCUUGUGUGUGCCUAAGCUAUGCCGCUCGCUCAUUUUUUCACCU
rnacentral:miRNA from 1 species